UGCAGUCGUACGCUUCUUUUUCCACCGGAGCUUGCUCCACCGGAAAAAGAGGAGUGGCGAACGGGUGAGUAACACGUGGGUAACCUGCCCAUCAGAAGGGGAUAACACUUGGAAACAGGUGCUAAUACCGUAUAACAAUCGAAACCGCAUGGUUUUGAUUUGAAAGGCGCUUUCGGGUGUCGCUGAUGGAUGGACCCGCGG
rnacentral:rRNA from 1 species